AUUGAACGCUGGCGGCAUGCCUUACACAUGCAAGUCGAACGGUAACAGGUCUUCGGAUGCUGACGAGUGGCGAACGGGUGAGUAAUACAUCGGAACGUGCCCGAGAGUGGGGGAUAACGAGGCGAAAGCUUUGCUAAUACCGCAUACGAUCUCAGGAUGAAAGCAGGGGACCGCAAGGCCUUGCGCUCAUGGAGCGGCCGAUGGCAGAUUAGGUAGUUGGUGGGAUAAAAGCUUACCAAGCCGACGAUCUGUAGCUGGUCUGAGAGGACGACCAGCCACACUGGGACUGAGACACGGCCCAGACUCCUACGGGAGGCAGCAGUGGGGAAUUUUGGACAAUGGGCGCAAGCCUGAUCCAGCCAUGCCGCGUGCAGGAUGAAGGCCUUCGGGUUGUAAACUGCUUUUGUACGGAACGAAAAGACUCUGGCUAAUACCUGGGGUCCAUGACGGUACCGUAAGAAUAAGCACCGGCUAACUACGUGCCAGCAGCCGCCGUAAGAC
rnacentral:rRNA from 1 species